rnacentral:rRNA from 1 species
UGGGGAAUAUUGCACAAUGGGCGCAAGCCUGAUGCAGCCAUGCCGCGUGUGUGAAGAAGGCCUUCGGGUUGUAAAGCACUUUCAGCGAGGAGGAAGGUGGUGAGCUUAAUACGCUCAUCAAUUGACGUUACUCGCAGAAGAAGCACCGGCUAACUCCGUGCCAGCAGCCGCGGUAAUACGGAGGGUGCAAGCGUUAAUCGGAAUUACUGGGCGUAAAGCGCACGCAGGCGGUUUGUUAAGUCAGAUGUGAAAUCCCCGGGCUCAACCUGGGAACUGCAUUUGAAACUGGCAAGCUAGAGUCUCGUAGAGGGGGUAGAAUUCCAGGUGUAGCGGUGAAAUGCGUAGAGAUCUGGAGGAAUACCGGUGGCGAAGGCGGCCCCCUGGACGAAGACUGACGCUCAGGUGCGAAAGCGUGGGGCAGCAAACAGGAUUAGAUACCCUGGUAGUCCACGCUGUAAACGAUGUCGAUUUUGGAGGUUGUGCCCUUGAGGCGUGGCUUCCGGAGCUAACGCGUUAAAUCGACCGCCUGGGGAGUACGGCCGCAAGGUUAAAACUCAAAGGAAUUGACGGGGUCAUAGCUGUUUCCU